UCCGGUAUGGUGUAACGGCUAACAUUGCCGCCUUUCAUUGUACAUUCGCGGCAGCUCGGGGUUCGAUUCCCCGUACCGGAA
rnacentral:tRNA from 1 species